rnacentral:misc_RNA from 1 species
GAUGAAGAACGUAGCGAAAUGCGAUAAGUAGUGUGAAUUGCAGAAUUCAGUGAAUCAUCGAAUCUUUGAACGCACAUUGCGCCCCUUGGUAUUCCAUGGGGCAUGCCUGUUCGAGCGUCAUCUACACCCUCAAGCUCUGCUUGGUGUUGGGCGUCUGUCCCGCCUUUGCGCGUGGACUCGCCCCAAAUUCAUUGGCAGCGGUCCUUGCCUCCUCUCGCGCAGCACAUUUGCGCUUCUCGAGGUGCGCGGGCCGCGUCCACGAAGCAACUAUUACCGUCUUUGACCUCGGAUCAGGUAGGGAUACCCGCUGAACUUAAGCAUAUCAAUAAGCGAGGA